CCUGAUUCCAAGAUGCCUUUUUUGCCUCCUGAAAAUCUAGAUAUUUCCAUCUGAGAUCAAGCUACAGGUUUAUGGCAAUAUGUUCUGAGUUCCAGCUGAAACAUUGGGACACCAAGAGCACAUCUCUGACAUCAGCAAUGGGUGUGGAACAGAUAAAGUGCUCUGAACAGUGAGAGCCUAUUGUCCCUGACCCUGAUGAGUUCACAUGAAGCCACUACACAAGCAGCCUUUGGAGGAGCCAUGUGGCCCGCACCAGACCAUCAGUCUCCCUUAUUCUAGCUCAGAAGGUGAAUGAAGACUCAGGAGCCCAUGACAUUUCUACUUCAAUGAUUUCCUGAUCCUGAAUCAGAGCAUUGUUCCACAUGACCUCUGAGAGUCCAAAGCAGCAGUUAAUGGGCUCUGGACCAGGUAGUAGCUAUGGAAGCAAAAGAAGGUGAAGAACAGGAUCUUUCUGAAGACCAAAUCUGUCAUUGGAACGUCCCCUGACCCUUCUUGAAAAUGGAGAAUUACAAUCUCUUCUGUGGAGAUGAGGGGAUCUACGUGAAGGAUAUGAGGCAGAACAGCAGCACAGUUAAGACCUUCUAUUUCUGAAGCCCAACAGAUCUUGGUUUGUAUGCCAGGGGGAGCAUUUAGCUGAGACAAUGUGAAAAUGUUCUUCAGCAUUUAGGGCUCUGCUUCAAUGCUCUUCGAUGUGAUAAUAACUAAAUUUCCUGCAACAUGGCUGUGUGGAUGGAAGGAAACAACACCUCUGAUGCCCUGUACUCCCCUGUUAUCUGACAAGCCUGUACUCAAUAGGAGCUCUCAGCAUUUCUGUAGCUGUUGAACUAGCCAAGUCUGGACAUGACCAGGCUGGGCUGAUGGAUUUGAAGCCCUGCUCCUACUAGAACCCAAAAGAUGGCUCUAAUCUCAGAAGACAGAGUGCCUUCCUUAGAAUUCUGGGUCUGUAAUUUAACUUGCCAAUGUAUCCUCUGUAGGGCUGUGAGCUUUUCUGAUCCUGUUUCCUCAUCUGAAAUAAACCUGCAUCCCAGGGCUAGUUGGCAUUUUGUGUAUUUGUGGAAGCGAUUUGUACACUCCUAAGCACUGAACAGGUGUAAGAGAUGGCAAUGGAAAAAAUUAUAUUUAUAGAAUUUACUAUGACCAUCCUCUGCUCUGAACUGUUUUAAGUGCUUUUGUACAUUGACUCACUUAAUUUUCACAAUAGUCCUUGAAGGUAGGAACUCUUAACAUUCCCAUUUUACAGACGAGGAAAUUUGAAAAAGCACAGGCCUGGAGGGAAGUCACAGGUUGUAAGUAGAGGAGCUGAGAGGGAAGUUACGGGAAACUGCACCCCUAACCACUAUCCCACACAGUCUCCCUUUGGUUACAAAGCAUCUGUACUGAGCUGAAUAACAUCCCUUCCAAAUUCAAGUCUAUCUGGAACCUCAGAAUGUGAGCCUAUUUAGAAAUAGGACUGUUGUAAAUGUAUUUGGUUAAAUUAAAUGAAGUCCUACUGGAUUAGGGUGGGUCCUAAGCCAAUAACUGAAAUCCUUAGAAGAAGAGAAAAUAGGAGACAGACAUAUAGGGAGAAGUCAAUGUGAAGAUUGGGGCAGAAAGUGGAAUGAUUCACCUACAAGCUGAGGAAUGCCACCAAUUGCUGGAAACUACCAGAAGUAAGAAAA